AUAUAUAUAUUAUUUGUUUGGUGACUUCCAUUAAUAGAGAGUCAUACUAGAUAGAGAGUCAUACUAGAUCCUUGGAUCUCUCUCUCUCUCUCUGCAUCUGGCGAUCUACAGCACAGAAACCCUUGAAGUUCUUCUGUUAGCCGCUCGAGUCCCUCUCUGGUAUAUGUGAUGAAACUGUACAGAAUUCAAUAUGGGUCUUCUAAAUGGCUACACUUACGUUGUCUUUCAUCAUCAUGAACACGAUCUCCAUUCUCAACUUGAGUUUGCUCUGGUGAUUGGGUUUUGGGUACACAUAAGAGUGGUUUUGUCUUGCAGGCGUAAUCGACAUGAUGGGUCUCCUAAUUGGCUACACUUACUUUGUUUUUCUUCAUCAUCGUCACGAUCUCCAUCCUCCUCAACUUAGGUUUGCUCUCGUGAUUGGGUUCUGGGCACAAAUGCAGGAACAACUAGCAAAAAGUAUAUGGAUAUAGAAUUAACAUAACAAUUACAUUUCCAAUAUGGAACUCCCAGUUUCGAAGAUUCUGAGCCUCAACCAAGGUUAACUGAACUUUCCUUGUUACAAAAUGUUGUUAUCUUAAUUUUUUAUCUUUUUAUUUUUUCAAAUGUAUUAUUUAGAAGCAGGGCUUAGGUUGUGAAGGUACUAGAUUCCGUAUAAUCAAUAGCUUGUUUUACCCUGAA